rnacentral:lncRNA from 1 species
CAAUAGGUGGAGAUUCCUCCACAAUAGGUAGAGGUCACCAGCAUAGGUCAGAGGGGAUAUUGUAUGUAACUGGUGACAUUUGAAAGAGACAUAUUGGACAGAAAUGACAUACGUGAAAGCUAAGAUACAAUAUAUUUAAUUUUCUAAGAAUUCAGUUCAAGGUAGUCUGCCUGGUUUCUCAAGUUCUGCAUGUUUCUUCAGUAGACUAAAUAAUGAUAAGGAAGCUGAGAUGUAGAGCUGAAGUGUCUUGCCCAAGAUCAUUUGUCUACUGCAGCUCCUGUUCCACUUCCUUUCUUGUACUGCUGAACAUCCAGAUAGAGGCAUUGACAUGCAUGGUUUCCAACUGAUCACUUCCUACUCCCUUAAGGACCUCCUGUCAGGCAGUUUUGCUAAUUUCUUUAAUAUCAGAAGACAGCUGGAUUCUCAUUUCUGCUUCUGCAUUCAGUCUAUUGUGAUAUAGCAUAUCAUGUAACUUCUGAAAAACUUCACUGUACACAGAUGCUGACCUCACAGACUCCCUGAAAGGAUCUCCAUGACCUCUAUGGUUCCUUAGACUGCACUUUGAGAACUAUUGACGUACAGGGAAAAAUGCUCUUGGUGUUCCAGUUAAGCACAGAAUAAAAUCUGGACUGUGUCAGUUUGUAAAGAUCUUAUGUCUACUUGGUCAUCAGCCAAGAAGGGAUUCCGAAGAUAGAAGAGGAGGCAUCAACACCGUGAACAUCAUGGCUGAGUUAUUUUGUGAGAGGGAUAAGCCUAAAGUAAAAACCUUGGAUUUGCCUCUGUCCUUGAACAUGCUAUCUGGAAAGAGUUUUCUUAAAAGUAUUGUUGUGAACACAUCCAUUUUCCCAGUAUAGUUGAAUGCAGGGUUUAAUAAAUGGAAUGAAUCUAGUUUUAGUUCCUGUACUGCUUGUGCUUUCAAUAACCUCUAUAUUUGAAUAACACAUUUCAGUAGAUAUGUUUGUUAGCGUUGAACUUGUAAGUUGACGAAGAAAGGGUAGUACUACCAACCCUGAGAGGAUAAAGAGAAUUCUAUGUGUUUUACAAACAUAUAUUUAUCAUUUUGAAUUUAUAUAUAGUCAAGGAUGCAAC